GGGUCACACACACCGUCACGGCCGCUUUUGUCUCCAAGUUGUCUUGGGACUUGUCGACGAUUGCACAUCAAAUUCCAGAGAGAUAUCAAUUCGCCAUAAAAACUGAUACCUUGUUCUUCAAAUAAAGCACCCCACAAUACUUGUUUCUCAAUUCUCUCCUCUGCCUCUUUUUCAUAAUUUGCCAAUAUAAAAAAAAAUACACAAUCCUCUCGCUCCAAUUCGAUCCAAAAGCUUUCGUCUUUCCUCAAGGUAACGAACAAAUGCUUUAUGGGUUUGGUUUCUUUUGUUCCAAUAGAUUGUUUUCAUUAAGAUCCGUGUUUACGUUUUUUCCAAAGUUUUGUGUUUUUGUUUUUUUUUUAAUGGGUUUUGAAAAAAAAAACACGAGAAAGGUCGAACCUUUGUUUUGUUGUUUGUUUGUGUGUUUUUGAUCUCUUGUUUUUGUGAUUGUGCCCAUAGCUCAGGCUGAGUUGGAAGCAUUUAAAUCCUCUACGGUGAGCCUCUUUUUGGCGCGAUUCACUUCGUUGCUCUUCUUUGUUUCAUUGCUUUCUCAACAUUCUUUUGAUUUUCUUGUUGAUAGGGAGAAGCAGCAGCUUUCUUUGUUGAUCAUCUGGAGAAUGGACAACACACCAAUGGUUUUGGCGUCAAAUCCGAAGACAGAGAUACAUCUGUCCAAAUUGGGGAUCGAUCCGUAAGCCUAUAAUGUUUUCAGAAUGUGAAACUAAUCUUGAAUGAUUCUUAGAACACUAAUCUUGUUUAUCUUUUGCAGUAUGUGAUUGGUGGAAGUCAUGAAGGGAACCCAUUGUUCCUUGGAGUUCAGAUCCAUGACAAAACCACCAACAAGUGGUGUGUUCUCUAUGAUUCCAUCUUGCUCCUCCUGCUGUUUCUGCUUCCAUUAAUGUUGGAGUGUGUUUCAGGUCCAGUCCUACUGUUCUUGGAACAGGUCCUAAGCCCUGUAAAGGCUACUCCGCCAUUGUUCUCAAACAAGGACGGAUCUUGGUUAUCAAAAAAGGCUCAGCUUCCGAUGACUCAAUCUGGUUCCUUGAGGUUAGUUAGUAUCUAGAAACAUCAGUCUUGCUUGUCUGUUUGUUUUCCUCAUGUGUCUGAACGUUUUGACAUUAGGUGGACAGUCUCUUUGUCCGGGAACAAAGGAAACUCUUAGGGAAAGAGGUUGUUGCUUGGAGCAAAGGAGUCAGAGGAAACGCAGAGAAGCCUAUAGUCAUAAGCGGUCCUUCCGGAGUUGGUAAAGGAACGCUUAUAACGAUGCUCAUGAAAGAGUUUCCUUCGAUGUUUGGAUUCUCCGUGAGCCACACAACUAGAUCUCCGAGGUGUAUGGAGAAGAACGGUGUUCAUUACCAUUUCACUGAUAAAACUGUGAUGGAGAAAGAGAUUAAUGACGGGAAGUUUCUUGAGUUUGCUUCUGUUCAUGGUAAUCUCUACGGAACUAGCAUUGAGUCUGUUGAGGUAGUAACAGAUUCAGGAAAGGUAAUUAUAACUUUUUCAUGAAUCUGAUGAUCUUUUUGAAAUGACUUAACUUUAUCUUUCUUUUUUUGUGUGUGUAUAGAGAUGUAUUCUUGACAUUGAUGUUCAAGGAGCGAGGUCUGUGAAGUCAAGUUCUCUUGAUGCGGUAUUUAUAUUUGUGUGUCCUCCUUCAAUGAAGGAGCUUGAAGAUCGGCUCCGUGCUCGGUAAAGACUUUUUAACCAUAAGAGUUGUUGUUUCUUCAGAUCUUUGAAUGUUUGUGUUAAAAAUAUAACAGAGGAACUGAGACAGAGGAGCAGAUUCAAAAGCGGCUUAGAAACGCCGAAGCUGAGAUCAAAGCGGGGAAGUCCUCAGGCAUUUUUGAACAUAUCUUGUAUAAUGACAACCUCGAGGAGUGCUACAAGAACCUCAAGGUAAUGUAACUCGCAUAAAUAUCCUCUUAAAGCAGUUUGAUUGAUGAUGUACAACAAUGGCUCUCUCUGUUCUCAGAAUCUCUUGGGGAUAAACGAUGACGCUCCUGUGAAUGGUGUAGAAGGUAAUUAAAUACCAAAACAGAAGAGUAGACAUAAUUGUAUAUACUAAUUAUGUUGAAAAGUAAGCUUAAUUGAUUGUUUGAUGAAAGCAGUAGAAGGGAUCAAUCUUCCCAAGGAGCACACAGUGACAAAGAUGGAAGAUAAGAUUAUGAUUCAAGAAACAGGAGAAGCAACCAAGAAUGACAUGUAAGUUCUUGACUUUUCUUUAUUGAUUUCUCUAUAGAGUUUUUUUGUUGAUGAAACGUGUUUUGGUGAGCAGGAUCGUGUUGGAUCUAUCUUCAAUUAACGGGGGAGCACCAGGGAGAACAAGAGGGAUCGUUCUGGACACGGUGAAGUCCAGUUAACAAAGAGUCCUUUCAUCUUUUCUCCGCUGUAAGCUAAAGAGGGGAACCAUUUUGACGAUCAUGAACCAUUGCUCUUUGUUUUUUUUUUUAUUGUUUGGCUUUUUCGCGGUUGAAAGGUAGUGUGAUGCGUUCACUAGAUAGGGCACUGAUGAUGAUGAUGAUUAUUAUGAUAAUACAAAAAGACAUGAUCUGUUUCGAUGAAAAUAAAAUGUUCUUUGUUUCUUUUUAUUGAUUAAAGAUUUUGUUUAAUCUAAAAAUCUUGAAAGAAUCUAUCCUUUUGGUAUUACUAGGACAUGAAAAGUAACAAAAGUUUGAAAUCAGUGCAAUGGGUUUAUUCUUGAGAUUCCGCAACUCGAAUAGGACAGAAAAGAAAAUUAAUUUUGAUCUUACACAACAGUGUUUUAGUGUUCGGACAUGAUGCAAUACAGUUAAUGUCAGUUUACAGUUGAAAACUCAGCCAAUCAAGUAGAAGAAAAGCAUCUCAAUGAGAGAAGAAGAAGACAAAAGCUAUUUAAAAAAGAGAGCAAGUUGUGGGACUUUGGAAUUAAAAAUGGGUCCUUGAAAGAUCGCAACUUGCGUAGAUUCGUGGGUCCACAAGUCGGUGGCAGUGUAAUUAAAGGAAGGUUCGUCGUAGCCUACCAUCUCUGUCUCGUGUGCUCCACCACUCUGUUUAAAGUAUCUAUCUGGGGCCAAGCCAAAUCAUACCCUUCAGAGUGUAUGCUUUGGAUUCAGGUGUUCCUUGAUUGGGCCAGACCACAGAGGAGAAGAAAACAUUGGGAUCAAAGGAAGCCUAAGAAUGAAACUUAGGCCCAAAUGAGCAGAACAGGAACCUUUCGCUGAGAAUGUGACUAAUUGGAUUAAAAGAGAUGGUACCACGCACCUUUUUUUUUUUUGGUGUAAAGUGAUACUACGCUCUUUCUACUUUCUCUCUUUUUGGUGAAAGGCAUUUCAUUAGCAACUAGAGUUCAGGAAGUACAAUUGUCUGAGAAAAACAGAGAUGUGAAUAUGUGAUAGAGCUGUUUUAGCCAUGCAGUCAACUUUUUGCAGUCAACUUCUACAUUAAUAGUAGGAGAAAUAAAAGAGAAAGAUAGAAACAUAUGGAUGAGAGAUUAAAGUAUAUAUGCUAUUUAGGCUUUUUAGAUUAAAAAUACAUAUUAAACAAACUUCCAGGGUGUUAUUGGUUUAUAUAUUUUAAUGGAUUUUGAAAUCGGAAUCAAAUCUAGUGUUAUUGGUUUUAUGAUUUUAAAAUUCAUAUUCAAAUAUUGUGUUAUGGUUUUGUGAUUUUAAAAUAAAUUUUGAAAUCAAGUGCUAUUCAAUUACAAGGAUUUGUUUAAAGAUUUAAUUUGAAACUAUAUUUCAAUGGAUUUGUAAGUGAUUUUAAGAUCAAAAUACAAAGGAACAAAUAUCAAGGUGAACCUUGUUAUUUUACUUGGAUUUGUAUUAUUGGGUUUUCUUCGAGUUCUUUAAAAAACAUCGUAACUCUCAAAUAAGAACUAUUUUUUGGCUUAACUUGGUACAAUGCUUUGAUUGCUGUAAACUUAUCUAUCAAAUGAAACAAAUGAUCAAGGACGUUGAUCCAAUUUUGAACCUGAUUUGGCUGUUUAUGUGGCUCAGCCGUCGUUACCAGUAUCGGGAUCCACGCGGCUGAGGGGUAUGCUUUUGAUUGCGUCGCUAAUCCAUUGAUUUAAAAAAAAAGAAACGAAUUUGGGUGAAGAAUAAAAUUGAAUAUAUGAUUCAAGAAUGUUAUUUGAUGAGUAGGAGUGGGUGGUGAAUCUGGUGAUUAAUACACAAAACUGAAAUUUGUAGCGAGUCAAAUCGAUUCAAAUGAAGUGGAAGAGUCGAGACGACGGUGACAUGAUUUGAGUUCUUUUGGGCUCAUUAACGAUGAGCCAUUUAACAUGUAGCCCACAUAAAUUACUCGACUCAUAGGAGUGACGUGGCGUUGGAGAACUUUAUGAUUGGCUGAUUAAAUUGGAGGACGUGGACACCUUAGCUGAUGAGUAUAUGCUGAUUUUAGUAUUGUGAUGUUUGAAUAUUUGUCUUAACCAUUUUAGUGAAAAUCAAAACAGUAAUUAAACAUUAUUAUUAGAAUAAACAAUUACUAUAACCUUAUUAUAAAAAAGAAGGUGCUCCGAGAUUUCCUAGGAGGGGUCACACACACCGUCACGGCCGCUUUUGUCUCCAAGUUGUCUUGGGACUUGUCGACGAUUGCACAUCAAAUUCCAGAGAGAUAUCAAUUCGCCAUAAAAACUGAUACCUUGUUCUUCAAAUAAAGCACCCCACAAUACUUGUUUCUCAAUUCUCUCCUCUGCCUCUUUUUCAUAAUUUGCCAAUAUAAAAAAAAAUACACAAUCC
rnacentral:lncRNA from 1 species